rnacentral:rRNA from 1 species
AACGUAGGGGGCCAGCGUUGCUCGGAAUUACUGGGCGUAAAGGGUCCGUAGGCGGUGUGGCAAGUCGGAAGUGAAAUCUCAGGGCUUAACCCUGAGGCUGCUUCUGAAACUGCCGUGCUAGAGUGCGAGAGAGGCGAGUGGAAUUGCAGGUGUAGCGGUGAAAUGCGUAGAUAUCUGCAGGAACACCCGUGGCGAAAGCGGCGCGCUGGACCACAACUGACGCUGAGGAACGAAAGCUAGGGGAGCAAACAGG